UUUGCUCUUCAUUUCAACAUGUCUUUUCCUCUUACUCUUUGUGAUUUUCACUUGAUCCUUUUGAGUUUUGAUUCCAAAGUUCUUAAGAGACAGAGAUCCUAUUGGCUGGUGCAAGACCAUAGCAGUUGUGUGUGUGUGUGUGUGUGUGUGAGAGAGAGAGAGAGAGGGAGAGGGAGAGGGAGAGGGAGAGGGAGAGGGAGAGGGAGAGCGCUGAGUCACUGUCUCCCAUUUCUGGCUUUGCUUCUCACAUCCACAACCCAUGUGCUCUACUUCCAUUUUUUCCUCUCAUUCCUGUUCCAAGCACAUCUGAAGAUUUUAUUUUCUCUAGCUUGGCUUUUCCCUUUGGGGAUGGCUCACAAAGCCUCAGAGCUUCUGAACGCACUCUGACGUGAGGGAGCAGCUUGAGUCCUCAAGUAUGUGUCCCGCCUGGAGACGAAGCCCAUUGAAGUCCCUGAGAGCAAACAGCUCUGAAAAGCAAAGCGAUCUGGUAUUUACUCAACUUUACUUCUGUCCGGUGGGUCAGAGAACAGACUCCAGUGUCCAGGAUAAAGCCGGGCCUGGCCGGGUCUUGGCAGCUCAAACCGCCCCAUUGUGAUUCAAGAUUCGGGGUGUAAACACAUGCAGUGUUUAACCACCGCCAGUCCUCUUUGAAUGUUUGAUAGCCGUGACUGGGGCUCAGGAAGAACACAGUAGUGACUUCUUCACUGGAGCUGAGGCUGAGGCUUUAUGUAGUGUUUGGGCAAACGGCACCGGCAGCUGCAAGCCCUCAAUGGGUGCUUUCUAGUUGCUGAGUGGGCUGUGCUGCGUUGCUGGGAGCCGAGGUCCGGAGCUGCCCCUGGGCUGGAUGGGGGGAGGAGGAGGCGGCCAGCCGCAGCCUGGGCCACCCCUUCUCGGUGACAGGUGCUGAGGGACAGGAGAAGGAGCCCCUCCCUACUGGCUCCCAAGCCUGGGCUCAGUGUCUGCCACUGACUGCCAUUUUUAUUGGGUUUUUGUUUCAGGAACACACACAGGACCUUGGCAGGCAGAGAUGUACCCUGUGGCUUGGUCUUUCUCUGCUCAGCUAGUGGUGAUGAAAACAGUAACAAAGACCCUGACUUUGCUAAAUGACCAAGACUCACUCAGAUAACAAGCCAGUACAGUUGCUGGCAGAGAGCCUUCUAGACGCUUGAUGCAGUGUGACCUACUGGAGUGAGAAGGAGAAUUGGAAGGGGAGGGCUCUCAGUUACAUUUUGGUCCAAUUAAAGGAUACUAUUAUCUCCUGAUGUGGACUGAUGAUCCUGUUUAUCAUUAACUAUCAUCUACUGAGAACUUUUAUGUGCCAGGUACUGAACUAGGUAUUGCAUGUUCAUUGUCUUACCAUAAUCCUGCAAUUUCGUUGUUGUUGUUC
rnacentral:lncRNA from 1 species